ACACCUCAACUCUCAUGGUUUGCCAUGAUGAGCUUGGACUUUGGGGGUCUUGCUGGCCUAUGGUCGGCUCCUCUCAAAUGAAUCAGCUUGCCAGUGUUUGGUGGCAUCGCAGGUGUGAUAACUAUCUACACUUGUGGUUUUCCACCAGAUAACCUUCAGUGAUGAAGGUUCGCUGGAGCUCACAAAUGUCUCUCCUCGGCGAGGACAGCUUUCUGAAC
rnacentral:misc_RNA from 1 species